rnacentral:rRNA from 1 species
CUCCUGGAAACGGGUGGUAAUGCCGGAUGCUCCGCCCCCUCGCAUGGGGGGUCGGGAAGGCUUUUGCGGAAUGGGAUGGGGUCGCGUCCUAUCAGCUUGUUGGCGGGGCGACGGCCCACCAAGGCUUCGACGGGUAGCCGGCCUGAGAGGGCGACCGGCCACAUUGGGACUGAGAUACGGCCCAGACUCCUACGGGAGGCAGCAGUGGGGAAUAUUGCACAAUGGGGGGAACCCUGAUGCAGCGACGCCGCGUGCGGGAUGGAGGCCUUCGGGUCGUGAACCGCUUUUGAUUGGGAGCAAGCGUGAGUGAGUGUACCUUUCGAAUAAGCACCGGCUAACUACGUGCCAGCAGCCGCGGUAAUACGUAGGGUGCAAGCGUUGUCCGGAAUCAUUGGGCGUAAAGGGCUCGUAGGCGGUUCGUCGCGUCCGGUGUGAAAGCCCGUCGCUUAACGGUGGGUCUGCGCCGGGUACGGGCGGGCUUGAGUGCGGCAGGGGAGGCUGGAAUUCCCGGUGUAACGGUGGAAUGUGUAGAUAUCGGGAAGAACACC